rnacentral:rRNA from 1 species
AGUGAACGCUGGCGGUAGGCCUAACACAUGCAAGUCGAACGGCAGCACAGUAAGAGCUUGCUCUUACGGGUGGCGAGUGGCGGACGGGUGAGGAAUACAUCGGAAUCUACUUUUUCGUGGGGGAUAACGUAGGGAAACUUACGCUAAUACCGCAUACGACCUACGGGUGAAAGCAGGGGAUCUUCGGACCUUGCGCGAUUGAAUGAGCCGAUGUCGGAUUAGCUAGUUGGCGGGGUAAAGGCCCACCAAGGCGACGAUCCGUAGCUGGUCUGAGAGGAUGAUCAGCCACACUGGAACUGAGACACGGUCCAGACUCCUACGGGAGGCAGGAAUGGGGAAUAUUGGACAAUGGGCGCAAGCCUGAUCCAGCCAUACCGCGUGGGUGAAGAAGGCCUUCGGGUUGGAAAGCCCUUUUGUUGGGAAAGAAAAGCAGCAGGUUAAUACCCCGCUGUUCUGACGGUACCCAAAGAAUAAGCACCGGCUAACUUCGUG